GACGAACGCUGGCGGCGUGCCUAAUACAUGCAAGUUGAGCGCUGAAGGUUGGUACUUGUACCGACUGGAUGAGCAGCGAACGGGUGAGUAACGCGUGGGGAAUCUGCCUUUGAGCGGGGGACAACAUUUGGAAACGAAUGCUAAUACCGCAUAAAAACUUUAAACACAAGUUUUAAGUUUGAAAGAUGCAAUUGCAUCACUCAAAGAUGAUCCCGCGUUGUAUUAGCUAGUUGGUGAGGUAAAGGCUCACCAAGGCGAUGAUACAUAGCCGACCUGAGAGGGUGAUCGGCCAAAUUGGGACUGAGACACGGCCCAAACUCCUACGGGAGGCAGCAGUAGGGAAUCUUUGGCAAUGGACGAAAGUCUGACCGAGCAACGCCGCGUGAGUGAAGAAGGUUUUCGGAUCGUAAAACUCUGUUGGUAGAGAAGAACGUUGGUGAGAGUGGAAAGCUCAUCAAGUGACGGUAACUACCCAGAAAGGGACGGCUAACUACGUG
rnacentral:rRNA from 1 species